rnacentral:lncRNA from 1 species
GUAUUUUGUGAACACCAAGAUUCAGUCUGGAUACUGGCUUCAUUACCAGCGAAGAGUCUGGACACUGGCUUCAUUACCAGCAAAGAGCUCAAGUGAUCAUGUGGCUUACCAUGUUUGUCAGGUUUCUCUUAACCAAUCACAUUCUGGUUUUAAAUGUGAAGGCAAAAUGGUCUAAUUUCUCACCGUAAAUAGAGCAAUCUGAAUAUCAAGACCCAGGAAAUUUCCAAGGUAUUGUCCUUUCUUUGCUGUUCUUGAACUGAUAAUCAUGU